rnacentral:rRNA from 1 species
CCUACGGGGGGCAGCAGUGGGGGAUAUUGCACAAUGGGGGAAACCCUGAUGCAGCGACGCCGCGUGGGCGAAGAAGUAUUUCGGUAUGUAAAGCCCUAUCAGCAGGGAAGAAGAAAUGACGGUACCUGAGUAAGAAGCACCGGCUAAAUACGUGCCAGCAGCCGCGGUAAUACGUAGGGUGCAAGCGUUAUCCGGAUUUACUGGGUGAAAAGGGAGCGCAGGCGGCACGGCAAGCCUGAUGUGAAAGCCCGCGGCCCAACCCCGGGACUGCAUUGGGAACUACCGGGCUGGAGUGCCGGAGAGGUAGGCGGAAUUCGUGGUGUAGCGGUGAAAUGCGUAGAUAUUAGGAAGAACACCAGUGGCGAAGGCAGCCUACUGGACGGUGACUGACGCUGAGGCUCGAAAGCGUGGGGAGCAAACAGGAUUAGAUACCCUGGUAGUC